rnacentral:rRNA from 1 species
UACGAAGGGUGCAAGCGUUAUUCGGAAUUAUUGGGCGUAAAGGGCGCGUAGGCGGCUUUUCAAGUGACGGGUGAAAUCCCUCGGCUUAACCGGGGAACUGCGUCUGAUACUGGAUGGCUAGAGAUUGGGAGAGGGAUGCGGAAUUCCAGGUGUAGCGGUGAAAUGCGUAGAUAUCUGGAGGAACACCGGUGGCGAAGGCGGCAUCCUGGACCAACACUGACGCUGAGGAGCGAAAGCCAGGGGAGCAAAGCGGG